GGAUAACUAUACUGUGGUGAUCAUGGCAGAUAGGAGUAUUUAAACUAACAGUAGGUUUCAGCUCCAAAUGGAGUGAGACACUCAGAAACAGGUGUGAGAAUGAAGGGAAAUUCAAGAACUUUGAACAAUUCAGGAAAACUCUCAAUGAGAUGUACUAUUACUAGAGAAGAAAAUUGCCUACAGACUGGAGAGAAUCCGCAGAAAAGUCAAGAAGAUACUGGAAAACUACCAUGAGGGAAGGUUGAAGUCAAGGCAUUUACUUUACAAAAAAAAAAAUAGAGUAGACUGAAUGCAGGAAUGACAAGUUUUCCAUUUAAUUUUUUAUAAACUACUUUAAGCUGAACAGUGCUCAAUUUUUCCACCUUUGCCAUUGGAUGGAAGACAUCAGCACAGCUAAUCUGCAAAAGGAAGAAGAGAGCCAUUUACCCCUGUCCCGUGCUGUGACAAGAUACCUAAGGUAUGAAGACUGUUAAUGUAGUGCCCUGUUACAUCCAGAUGUCAGCUGGUCAGCUGUGUACCACAUUCCUGGUGAUUUUCAAUAAUAGCCUGUCCAUGCCCGUUUCCUGUGGAAGAAGGUUCUUCUGCCUUAUCUGCAAUGAUGAAGACUUCUGUUGAGCUGUUCACUGAAGCAUUGCUUCAGCCUCAAUGCAUAUAAUUUGUUUUUGAAGAGUUUGAAAGGUCUCACAGCAUAGAACUUGCUAAUGAGUCAUUCCAGCUCACCUUUGGUACUGCUUUUCAUCCAGCAUGCUUUGGUGACCAUACUAUUAGGUUACAUGGCCACAACACCCCACUAUUCUAUUUUAUCCCAGUUCUGGAAGUGUAAUUUUCUAAAUUUACUAGCUCAUAGUUUGUGAUAUUUUUCUUAUAUGUCUUAACCCUCUCUCUGUAUUGAACCUGUCCUUUGAUCAGUUCCUGAGUUCUUUCAUGUUAAUCAUGCUUCCACAGCGGUACAUUCCUCUGACUCAGUGUUUGUACAUGUCAAAACCACUAAAAGGUGUCAGAACAUGACUCCUGAUAAGCAGUGACCCCAGAAGGACAUAGCAUCUCCUGCUGUAAUAGGCUUGGAAAAACAGAGUACACAUACCAGUUCUUUUCCAGCAUCAGCAGAUAUGUUCCUUUUCCUGACACCUUUUUUGCAUGGAAACUGUAGACAUUAGAGAGCUCUUAUAUGUAUUGUUUUUGCAGAGCAGGACUUCUGUUUGCUUGG